rnacentral:lncRNA from 1 species
UAGAGUGUGAGCAAGGCAAAGAAUAUAUAAAAAAACUAGAAGAGCAACGUGUCUGCCAAAUGAAGAGUAGGACUAUAAGUAAAUCUACUGUAACGGAUAAAAAACGUCUAAGUCAAUUAUACGUAGCAUAUCUUCAUUAAACAUUUUGCUAAUAAAUACUUUCGUUAACAAAUCUAGUGAUAUAGCUGAUCACAGAUUCCUUAAAUGAAGAGAAGGUAGGAGGUGAAGGUGGUGGAAUCUCACAGUAAUCAUGUUAUUCUUUAAGUGGAGGAAUAUCUAACUAUUUAAUUAAGGAAAUAGCUCCAGAGUGUAUAUGCUUACAGUUUCCAAGAUCAAACAUAAUAGUGUCAUCCAUCGUCAAGCAGUUUCCAUAUCCUCCUUUGACUUUCUGAUGGACACGGAGCCUUUUAUAACUUGCCUAAAGUGAUGAAGAAAUUUGUGUUUCUAUAAUUAAAAUUUUACAAGUAUUAUAAGCUUACCAUAAAUUGACGUGCUGUUGGAUUAUUGUUUUGUCCAAAUCUGCAACGUAAAGCACAAAAAAUAGUUCUAGGUGAUCUUGGGACAUCUUGUGAGUCAAAAGAUAUUUUUGGUAAUCAGACUUUAUUCUUUUUCCUAGAUCUGCAUAAAAAUGUCGAAUUAUCAAGUUUUAAAUUCUUAAUGUAAUCAAAGCUAUCUUCAACCAAUGGGUUCCAAAAAUCUUCAGAGGAUCAUUUUAAUGGUCCCUCAAAGCCUCUUCCUAAACAAUUCCUACUAUUGCACUAAUCAAAUAAUGACAAAAUAUACAUUUCUUCAUAGCUGAGAUGUUGGUUGUUGAAUUAAUCAUGAAUUUACCUUUAAGGGACUCAUCUUUAGGGAAUCUGUGAAAACUUAGAUUUCUACAAAUUUUUUAAUCCCAGGUUUAUAUGAACAGUUAAACGUGGAGCAACACAUUAUUUCGAAUCUUUAGAUAAAGCUCUAUAAGACUAUAUUAAUAUAAUAUAAAUUAUCAUGCUGUGUAACUUUUAACUUCGCCCUCCCCCCGAAAAAAAUAUUACUCUUAUUAUUGCCUCUUGUAACCUUUGCAUUAUCAUUA